GCGGCGGUAGCUUAGUUGGCAGAGCAGUGGGACGCUAUUCCACGGUUCCGGGUGCAAGCACUGGCCGACGCU